rnacentral:tRNA from 1 species
GGGCGCAUAGCUCAGCUGGAUAGAGCAACGGCCUUCUAAGCCGUAGGUCGCAGGUUCGAAUCCUGCUGCGCUCGCCA